GACGAACGCUGGCGGCGUGCCUAAUACAUGCAAGUAGAACGCUGAAGCUUGGUGCUUGCACCGAGCGGAUGAGUUGCGGACGGGUGAGUAACGCGUAGGUAACCUGCCUGGUAGCGGGGGAUAACUAUUGGAAACGAUAGCUAAUACCGCAUAAGAGUAGAUGUUGCAUGACAUUUGCGUAAAAGGUGCAAUUGCAUCACUACCAGAUGGACCUGCGUUGUAUUAGCUAGUUGGUGAGGUAACGGCUCACCAAGGCAACGAUACAUAGCCGACCUGAGAGGGUUAUCGGCCACCCCGGGACUGGGACACGGCCCAGACUCCUACGGGAGGGAGCAGGAGGGGAUCUUCGGCAAUUGACGGAAGUCUGACCGAGCAACGCCGCGUGAGUGAAGAAGGGUUUCGGAUCGUAAAGCUCUGUUGUAAGAGAAGAACGAGUGUGAGAGUGGAAAGUGCACAUUGUGACGGUAUCUUACCAGAAAGGGACGGCUAACUACGUG
rnacentral:rRNA from 1 species